rnacentral:rRNA from 2 species
AACUUUCAGCAAUGGAUCUCUUGG